rnacentral:rRNA from 1 species
CAUGGCUCAGGAUGAACGCUAGCGGCAGGCCUAACACAUGCAAGUCGAGGGAGAAGCCCUUCGGGGCAGAAACCGGCGCACGGGUGCGUAACGCGUAUGCAACCUACCUUUCACAGGGGGAUAGCCCGAAGAAAUUUGGAUUAAUACCCCAUAAUAUUGCGAGAUGGCAUCAUUUUGCAAUUAAAACUGCGGUGGUGAGAGAUGGGCAUGCGUCCUAUUAGCUAGUUGGAGUGGUAACGGCACCCCAAGGCUACGAUAGGUAGGGGUCCUGAGAGGGAGAUCCCCCACACUGGUACUGAGACAGGGACCAGACUCCUACGG